UACGUAGGGUGCGAGCGUUAAUCGGAAUUACUGGGCGUAAAGCGUGCGCAGGCGGUCCGCAAAGUCUGAUGUGAAAGCCCCGGGCUCAACCUGGGAACUGCAUUGGAAACUAACGGGCUCGAGUGUGGCAGAGGGGGGUGGAAUUCCACGUGUAGCAGUGAAAUGCGUAGAGAUGUGGAGGAACAUCGAUGGCGAAGGCAGCCCCCCUGGGCUAACACUGACGCUCAGGCACGAAAGCGUGGGGAGCAAACAGG
rnacentral:rRNA from 1 species